GGGUCUUUGUCUCUCGCAGGCCCUGGCACAGGAGCUUGGGAUCCGUCUCCUCUUUCGUCUCCUCCACCUUGGGAGCCCCGGGCUACUCUCUCACAGCCCCUGUUGCUCUGUGCUGUGUAGGUCCUUGGGGACGCACAGUUAAGGUGCCAGGACAUCCUGGAAGCUGGGAAAUGGUGAGUAUGCGGGGUGCGGCAUCCUGAGAGGGGAGAGCAGGCUGCGAAACCGGCAGGACCGGCCUCCCCACGGUUAGCUCCGAGUCUCCCGCAGCUUGGCCCUCACUCCCCUGUGGCUGCAAGAUGGCCGCUGGGCCAGCAGCGGACCCCCACGUCCGGCCCGGCCCAUUCGGUCCUGUCCCUGGGCAGCGCCCUGCUCUGCGCCCACAGCCAUGAGUAUUUCCCAGAUUGUUCAGGGAUGCCAGGUAGGUCACCAGGGAAAAACCACGACUGGGUGUUUGCGUGGGAGGAGCUGCGGCCUGUGGGGUCCACAGUCUCUCUUGUUAAAAAUUAACGGGAGUCUAUGUUAAAAUGUUAACCAGUUUAUCUGAACAAACGGUGAUUGCUGAAAUGGAAAGCACCCAGACAUGAUUUGUGGUCCACCUGAGGGGCAUAAAGGAAAGGCUUUUAUAAGAUGCAUGAGAAAGCAACCCAAAUUCAUAAAUUGUUUCCAGUUAUGUAAUCGCCUUAUUUGAACUAUCCAGAUGGAAAUUUCCUAGUUACAUAUUCAGAGGUUAAUUGUAUGUUUGUCAUUGGUUAAAUCUGCAUUUUGUUUCAGGCUAAGAUAAUGGUUUAUAGGAAAUGUAUUUGAGUUAGGGUUUAAAUUUUUUUUUUUUAACCUAUGAACACAGGGCACUAGAGCCACUUUAGUCUAGUUUUCUGCUCUUUAAUUAUUUGAACACUCCAGAAGAGGACUGGUUUCCUCCUGUUUUUUUAAUGUAUGGCAAAUGGAGCCUCUAAUCGACCACCCUGUUUUUCAGCCUAACUCAGACUUGCAGUAAAAUUAUAAGGUCCUACUUUCUUUGCUGCAUUCUCAAAUGCAACACAUGAGACCAGCUUUCCCUUGCCAAUUUACAAUGCUAUUAACUAUUUGUCCUUUACUAUACAUUUCAUUAAAGUUUUCUAUUAUUGUAUUUCUUUCUACUUCUCCCUACAGUUCUGGCAAUAUUUGCUUUUUAUAUUUAGAAGCCUCCAUUUUGGGCACAUAAAUAUAUAUAGCUAUAUUCUCUUGACAAAUUAACCUCUAUUAUUAUAGUAUGGUAAACUCAUUUCAUGCAUGUGAGAGACAUUGCUAGAAAGUCUAUUUUGUCUAAUUUAAGCAUAACUACCAUUGCACUCCUUUGAUUAUUAUUUGCAUGUAAUAUCAUUUUCUAUCCUUUCACUUUUAGCCUAUGCUCUUAAUUCAUAAUUGAGUCUCCUGUAAGCAGCAUAUUACCAGGUUUAAAAGAUUCAUUUAUCUACUCUGUCUGCUUUAGUGUCUUUUGGCUGUUGUAACAGAAUAUCACAGACUGGUAAUAAAGAAUAGAAUUUUGUUUGACUCAUAAUUCUGGAGGCUGGGAAGGCAAGAAACAUGAUACUGGUAUCUGUUGAAGGUCUAGUUGCUGGAUAAUAACUUGGCCAAAGAUGUGAGGGAGAGAGAGCUUUUUUUUAAAUAUAUAACAGAUCCAUUCUUGUUAUAUUUAGCCCAUUCCCAUAAUAAGAACAUUAGUCCAUUCAUGUGGGCAGAGUUCUUAUAGCUUAAUUAAUUUUUAAAGGUUCCACCUCUUAAUUCUAACACAUUGGCUAUUAAAUUUUAUCCUAAAUUUUGGAGAUGACAUUCCGUCUACAGCAGUAUCUGUUUAGUAGAUAAUUUAAUCUUUUUAUUUGUAAGGUAGUGAUAGGUAAGCAGUUACCAUUGUAAAUUUGUGGUUUUCUGUCCAUUUUAAAUUUGCUUCUUUUUUUUCUGGUUCUGUCUUUCCUGUGGUAUUGUUAAUUUUUGUUGAGACAAAGUUACGCUUUCUUGCUCAGACUGAAGUGCAGUUGCAUAUCACAGCUCACUGUAGCCUCAAACUCCUGGGCUCAAGCAAUCCUCCCAACUUAGCCGCCCAAGUAGCUUGGACUACAGACACACACCACAACACCCAAGGAGCUUAUGAUUCUUCCACCUUGGCCUCCCAAAGUGUUGGAAUUAUAAGCAGGAGCCACCAUGUCCAAUGUGUAAUUUUUGUUGUUUGUAUAUGCUUUAAUUACUUUCUCUUUUUUUAUUACAGUUUUUUUCCUAGUGGUUAUCAAGAGACUUAUAUAAAACAUCUUGUAUUUUAAUAGUCUGGUUUAAGAUGAUAACAAUUUAGAGUAUUCUGAAUUUCGGUAUGUAUUUAGCAUUUUUAGUGACAUUUAUACUUUAGUAUUUUUCAUAGUGUUAGUUAGCAUUUCAUCUUAUCAAUGUGAAGAUUUCUUCUAGACCAUGGCUGGAGAAGUAAAGAAGGUGGGUUUUGCCUGAUUCAGGGACUAUAGAGAGAACCAAGUUCUGCCGGCCUGUCACCUGUCUCAGGUGAGUAUGAAUUCUCUUGUAUCUGCCCGGUCCCGGGCAGAUAGUUGCAGUGGCAGGACCAAGGUCAAACGAGUUAUAGGCAAGUCUACAGUAAGAUGUGGCAGUAUUCGGUUUUGAAGCCGGGACCAUGAUUGGCAAGCUUGACACUUGGUCAAGUGCUUACCCUCUGAAGAUGUGUUCCUUGGUCUUUGCCUCCAGCUGGGUGUCACAUACUCUGAACUGGAUUCCAAAGCUUUCAUGAAAGCACUUAUGUUUGCUGUGGCAGCUGCAUUAUGUUGUGGGGGAUGUGCACGCAGAACCACCCAUUCUGUCAUGCUGCUUAUGUUACUCUCGUUUAUAUUUCACUUUUUGAAAUGAAUGUCAAGCUGGUGAUUUUUAGAUUCAAAAAUUCUAAAAUAAAUUGCUCAAAUUUACACAUUAUGUAAGCUAUUAAUAAAAUUUCUUGUAGGUGCAACAUAUUUAUUAAAAUUUUUGGUUGUAAUUUCAAGCUCACUGCAGGCAGAAAUGAAUCAUUAACAUUUAUAUUCUUUUUUUUAGUCUGUAUCUAAAUGAUGGUAUAUUUUCAUUCCAGAUAUUUACUUUAUACUUCAGUAAUGCUCAGCGUAUUUUGCAAAAUUUUUGUUGUUCUUUUAUUUCGAAACAUAAGGCUUUUUUAGCUCCUGAAAGCUAUAUUAUAGUCAUAUAGUUUUAUUAUAUUUUGUGGUAAGAAGAGCAGAAAUAUAUUGAGGACAUAAUUAAAUUCUCCUAUCUUUUUAAUGAUUAUUAAUUAAAUUCGUCUCUUUAGAGCCUGUUAUUAAUGAUUGUAAUGUAUUUUCUGUACAAUUUUACUGCAAUUUAUUAAAUUCCAAUGACUUAAAAUGUCUGCUUUUCAUGAGUGCACGCAGUUGAACGGUGUAGAUAUCUAAAGAGUCAUUUUUUGGCCGGGUGUGAUCACUCAUGCCUGUAUUCCCAGCACUUUGGGAGGCCGAGGAGGGUGGAUCACGAGGUCAGGAGAUCAAGACAAUCCUGACUAACAUGGUGAAACCCCGUCUCUACUAAAUACACAAAAAAUUAGCUGGGCAUAGUGGCGGGCACCUGUAUUCACAGUAACUCGGGAGGCUGAGGCACGAGAAUGGCGUGAACCCAUUGGGCAGAGCCAAGAUCACACCACUGCACUCCAGCCUGGGCGACAGAGCAAGACUCUGUCCUAAAAAAAAAAAAAAAAAAAAAAAAAAAAAUUUUUCUUUUAAAUCUAUGAUGUAUUCAGGAUUUUAUGUAUUAAAAUCUCUUUUCUUAUUAUCAAUUGCGUGUUAUUGCGUUUCUUUUCUUGGGUAUGUUUUCUCAGAUCAGUUAAUUGUAUUCUUGCUUUUAAAGCUUGAUAUCAUGAGUUGAAUGAUAAUUUUUAGCUCAGUACACUUUAUCUCAAAGUGAUGUUUAAUAUAUGUGUGAAUUAGCUGUGUUUGUUGCUUAUAGAUAUAUCUGUGUGUUUUUCACCUAUUUAAGUCUGACAUCUUUUUUCCUUGUUUGUUUUUUUUUUUUUUUUCAGUUUCAGAUAGGCUUUUUUUUUAAAAGAGAAUUUUAAAACAGAGUCAAAAGAACCAAAAUCAGUUAUUUCUCCUCUUGCAGAGUGGGGAGAUAACUUCCUUCCCCACAGGUUUGAGGCUAGGCUAAGUGGUGAGUCUUGGGGAGAUGCAGAAAAGAUCCAUCCCAGGCACUUGGCUGGACUUAAGUAAGCACAGCCUUUGGGCCACAAGACCUGAUGGCUUGGGUACUGGUCUGGACAUAAGUCCCCAUCUUCCCAGAAAUGUAGUCUUUUGUCUGCAACAACUGGCUGGAGAAAUAUUUCAGAAAGAUGUGUGUCUGGAACACCCAAAGGUAUACCUUUCCUUUCUCCUCGGCAUAGGCCUUGCAGCACUGAAGAAACACCAGGUUUACAAUGGAGCCUUCAAGAGUCUUCAUCCCUAUGGAGCUCAGGGGCUCAUAGGGUGACAGUAGAGGAGACAAGCUAACUUGGGAAGUAUUUGUCCUUCAGCUUCUCCCCAACUGAAACACUAUAUAUUGGGGCCACAGUUCAUGGCAAAACAUACAUGCUCUCUUUCUUUCUCUCACACCUACAUCUCGGGAACCCAACAACUUGAUGGCAGGUAGCUCUGGGUAUCCUUGGUCUGGCAUUCCCUCACUGGGCAUCUAAGCUGUCCUAAAGCUCUUUUCAAUCAUUUCUUACUCUUUCCAGGCCCAUGUGGGUAGGUGUUCCAGCCUUCACUCUUUCAGGCUGAUCAUAAAGGCACAGUGUGGGAAAAUCCCCUACUGUGGUGGCCAUUGCUGGGAAGCAGGGAAGGCUAACGGCCCACUGCUGCCCAAGGCUAGUGUAGACACCAUCUGCUCCACUCGUCUCCUCAAAGAUUGAUAUCAGGUGCAGCAGCUGCUGUCUGGAAUGUUAUCAAACCAGGACUGCACAGGCACUGCAUUCUCUGUGUGGAAGAUGUAAGCAGCAGGCGAGUUGUCCAGGAUGAGAGUUUUCGUCAGGUCCGUGCCCAGAUGGCUGAGGUCCUUGACAUAGCAGCCCUGGUGGAACAAACACAACUCAUGGGCUAGGCCACCCCAGAACACCCCACACUGGUCCAGCACACACUUCACACUCUGUUUGGAAUUGGUGGGUUCUUGUUCUCACUGACUUCAAGAAUGAAGCUGCAGACCCUCACGGUGAGUGUUACAGUUCUUAAAGGGGGCAUGUCCGGAGUUUGUUCCUUCUGACAUUCGGAUGUGUUCAGAGUUUCCUCCUUCUGGUGGGUUCGUGGUCUCGCUGGCUCAGGAAUGAAGCUGCAGGUGUUCAUGGUGAGUGUUACAGCUCUUAAGGCGGCGCGUCUGGAGUUGCUCAUUCCUCCCAGUGGGUUCGUGGUCUCUCUGGCUUCAGGAGUGAAGUUGCAGACCUUCACGGUGAGUGUUACAGUUCAUAAAGGCAUUGUGGACCCAAAGAGUGAGCAGCAGCAAGAUUUAUUGCAAAGAGCAAAAGAACAAAGCUUCCACAAUGUGGAAGGGGACUCGAGUGGGUUGCCACUGCUGGCUCGGGCAGCCUGCUUUUAUUCCCUUAUCUGGCCCCACCCACAUCCUGCUGAUUGGUAGAGCCAAGUGGUCUGUUUUGGCAGGGCGUUGAUUGGUGUUUUUACAAUCCCUGAGCUAGACAAAGGUUCUCCAUAUCCCCACCAGAGUACCUAGAUACAGAUUGUUGAUUGGUUCAUUCACAAACCCUGAGCUAGACACAGGGUGCUGAUUGGUGUGUUUCCAAACCUUGAGCUAGAUACACAGUGCUGAUUGGUGUAUUUACAAUCCCUUAGCUAGACAUAAAGGUUCUCCACGUCCCCACCAGACUCAGGAGCCUAGCUGGCUUCACCCACUGGAUCCUGCACCAGGUCUGCAGGUGGAGCUGCCUGCCAGUCCUGCGCCAUGUGCCUGCACGCCUCAGCCCUUGGGUGGUUGAUGGGAUUGGGUGCUGUGGAGCAGGGGGUGGGGCUUGUCGGGGAGGCUCCAGUCGCACAGGAGCCGAAGGAGUUGGGGGGAGGGUCAGGCAUGGCGGGCUGCAGGUCCAGAGCCCUGCCCCGUGGGAAGGCAACUAAGGCCCAGUGAGAAAUUGAGCACACCAACUGCUGGCCCAGGUUCUAAGCCCCUCACUGUCUAGGGCCGGUGGGGCAGGCCGGCCACUCUGAGUGCGGGGUCCACCGAGCCCACACCCACCCGGAACUCGCGCUGGCCCACAAGCACUGUGCGCAGCCCCAGUUCCCGCCCGCACCUCUCCGUCCACAACUCCUCGCAAACUGAGGGAGCCAGCUCUGGCCUUGGCCAGCCCAGAAAGGGGUUCCCACACUGCAGCAGUGUGCUGUAGGGCUCCUCAAGUGCCGCCAAAGUGGGAGCCCUGGCAGAGGAGGCCCUGAGAGCGAGCGAGGGCUGUGAGGACUGCCAGCACACUGUCACCUCUUAACAGGAUCUGCGUACUUGUUCAGGCUGGAAUGAAUACAGCAAUGAAAAAAACACAUUUAAGCAGUUCCUCCUGUCAUCUCAGGAACUCAUCCAUAUAAGGACUCAUGAGCAAAUGGAUCUGGUGCCUGGUCUCCUCAAUCUCUACAGGCAUUAGGCAGUCAGCAUUGCUGAAUGCCUUCAAGGAGCUAGGCACAAGGGUUUCAUCCAAGUCAGUGCCCAUACAGAUCCUUCCUUGAUUUUUCUCUGCCACCUCUGGGAGCAGGCAGGUUCCUGGGAUCUGAUAAAACUGAUACUGGAGACUCUGGAGCUGAAUUGACUUAGCAAUGGUGUUGACUUCCUCCUUAUGUGUGGAGAGCUCAGCAGGGGAACGUGACUGGCCAACAUGCUGGGUGCAAGAAGAGCAGAAAGGGGCCUUCUAAGGUGUGACAAUCAUGAGACCUCUUCGGAGAGCACUUUGGAAACCAGGACUUGCUUGGUGGUCUAUCUGGAAUAUUGUGGCAUGUGUGAUUAAAAGUAUUGCAUAUUCUGCUGUUGAGUGGAGAGAUAUAAAUCCUCCACAGCCUAUAAUUUCAAAUGACUUCUUAUCAAGCAUGAUGGAUUUUUUCCUGCUAGAUCAAACCUGUUGCUGGACCUUCUAAUGAAUCUCUAAAUUCAGGGUGGACACGGUGGCUGACGCCUGUAAUCCCAGCACUUUGGAAGGCUGAUGUGGGUGGAUCAUGAGGUCAGGAGAUCGAGACCAUCCUGGACAACAUAAUGAAACCCCGUCUCUACUGAAAAUAUAAAAGUUAGCCGGGCGUGGUGGCAUGAGCCUUUAGUCCCAGCUACUCGGGUGGCUGAGGCAGAAGAAUUGCUUGAACCUGGGAGACGAAGGUUGUAGAGAGCUGUGAUCGUGCCACUGCACUCCAGCCUGGGCAACAGAGUGAGAUUUCAUCUCAAAAAAAAAAAAAUUACCAUUAAUAGGCACCUAGGUUGAUUCAUGUCUUUCCUCUUAUAAAUAGUGCAGUGAUGAACCAACAAGUGCAUGUGCUAUUUUGGUAGAAGAAUUUAUUCUCUUCUGGGUAUAUACCCAGCGGUGAAAUUGCUGGGUUGAAUCAUAGUUUAACUCUCAGUUAUUUGGAAAGUCUCCAAGCUGCUCUCCACAGUGACUGAACUAAUUUGUAUUCCUAUAAACAGUGUAUAAGUGAUUUUUUUCCCUCUAAAAGCUCUUCAACACGUAUUAUCAUGUUACGUUUUAACAAAAGCCAUUCUAACUGGUGUACGAUGGUGUCUUAUUGUGGUUUUUAUUUACAUUUCCUUGAUGGUUAGUGAUGAUGAGCAUUUUUCAUGUUAUUUGGCCACUUGUGUGUAUUCUUUAGAACAGUGUCUGUUAUUGCCCACUUUUUUAUGGGAUAAUUUUUUGCUUGUGAAUUCUUUAAGUUUCUUAUAGGUUCUGAGUAUUAGAUUUUGUCAGGUUGAUAGGUUGUGAAUAUUUUUCCCGUUCUGCUAGCUUUGGGGUUAGUUUGAUUUUAGUUUUCUAGUUUCUCUAAGUGUGAUUUUAAAUUGUUAGUUUGAGAUCUUUCUAACUUCUUGAUGUAGGUAUUUAGCACUCCCAACUUUCCUCUUAACAGUGCUUUUCCUACAUCCCAGACAUUUUGUUAUAUUGUGUCUCUUGAUCUAUUUCAAAAUUUUUUUAAUUUUCUGCCUCAAUUUUCUUGUUUACCCAAAAUUCAUUCAGGAGCAAGUUGUUUAAUUUCAAUAUCAUUCUGUGAUUUUGUGAGACUUUCUUGGCAUUGAUUUUUAUCUUUGUUCCAUUUUGGCCUGACAGUAUGGUUGGCAUAAUUUUAAUUUUUAAAAAAUGUAUGGAUAAUUGCUUUAUGGCUAGGAAGUGGUCAAUCCUAGCUUAUAUUCUGUGAGCAGAUGAGAAGAAUUUACUUUCCAUAGAUGAUGUGUGGCGUAUACUCUAAAUGUCUAUUAGUUUCAAUUGAUCAUGUGUCAAAUCAAACUCCAGAAUUUCUUCGUUAAGUUUCUGCCUAGAUAAUCUGUCAAACACUUAGUGGGGAGUUGCAUUCCCCUACUAUUAUUGUGUGUCUACUUGAGUCUUAUUGUAGGUCUAGCAGUACUUGUUGUAUAACUCUAUGUUCCCCAAAGUUGGGUGCAUCUACAUUUAGGAUAAAUAAGACUUCUUGUUGAAUAGAACUCUUUAUUGUUAUGCAAUACUUUUCUUUGUUUUAUUUUACUAUUAAUUAUUUAAAGUCCUUUUUCUUAAAAGAGAAAAAAUUCCAGGUAUGGUGGCUCAUGCCAGCACUUUCAGACUGAGGCAGUAGGAUUGCCUGAGACCACGAGUUUGAGACCAGCCGAGGCAAUAUAGCAACAUUCUGUUUGUACACUUUUUUUUUAAAGAAACUAUACAGGAAUGGUCGUGUGCACAACUGUGGUCAUAUUUACUCAGGAUACAUAGGUGGCAUGACUGCUUGACUUCAGAAAUUUGAGGAUACAGUGAGCUGUGAUUGCACCACUGCACUCUGUCCCAGGAGAUGGAGUAAGAUCCUGUGUUUUGUCACUAGUACCAUCCUGUCUUGGCUGCUGUGGCCUUUUAGUAUAGUUUGAAGACAGCUAGCUUGAUGCCUCCACCUUUGUUCUUUUUACUUAGGGUUGUCUUGUCUAUGCAGGAUCUUUUUUGAUUCCAUAUGAAAUUUAAAGUAGUUUUUUUUUUCUAAUUCUGUAAAGAAAGUCAACAGCAGCUUAAUGGGGAUAGCACUGAAUUUAUAAAUUUCUUUGUGCAAUAUGGCCAUUUUCACAAUAUUGAUUCUUCCUAUCCAUGAGCACGGAUUGUUUUCCGUUUGUUUGUGUCCUCUUUCAUUUCCUUGAGCAGCGGUUUGUAGUUCUCCUUGAAGAAGUCCGUUACAUCCCUUUUAAGUUGGAUUCCUAGGUAUUUUAUUCCCUUUGUAGCAACUGCGAAUGAGAGUUCACACAUGAUUUGGCUCUCUGUUUGCCUAUUAUUGCGUAUAGGAAUGCUUGUGAUUUUUGAACAUUGAUUUUGUAUCCUGAGACUUUGCUGAAGUUGCUUAUGAGUUUAAGGAGAUUUUGGGCUGAGAUGAUGGGGUUUUCUAGAUAUACAAUCCUGUCAUCUGCAAACAGAGACAAUUUGACUUCCUAUUUGAAUAUGCUUUAUUUCUUUCUUUCUUUGGCUGGUUGCCAGAAGUUUCAGUACUUUAUUGAAUAGGAGUGGGGAGAGCAGGUGUUCUUGUCUUGUGCAGGUUUUCAAAGGGAAUGCUUCCAGUUUUUGCCCAUUCAGUAUGAUAUUGGCUCUGCAUUUGUCAUGAAUAACUCUUAUUAUGUUGAGAUACGUUCCAUCAAUACAUAAUUCAUUGAGAGUUUUUACCAUGAAGAGGUGUGGAAUUUUAUUGAAGGUCUUUUUUGCAUCUAUUGCGAUAAUCAUGAGGUUUUUGUCAUUUGUUCUGUUUAUGUAAUGGAUUACAUUUAUUGAUUUGCAUAUGUUGAAUCAGCUUUGCAUCCCAGGGAUUAAGCUGACUAGAUCGUGGUGGAUAACCUUUUUGAUGUGCUGCUGGAUUCUGUUUGUCAGUAUUUUAUUGAGGAUUUUCGCGUCGGUGUUCAUGAGGGAUACAGGCCUGAAAUUUUCUUUUUUUGUUGUGCCUUUGCCAGGUUUUGGUUUCAGGAUGAUGCUGGCCACAUAAAAUGAGUGAGGGAGCAGUACCCCUUUUUCUAUUGUUUGAAAUAGUUUCAGAAGGAAUGGUACCAGCUCCUCCUUGUACCUUUGGUGGAAUUCGGGUGUGAAUCCGUCUGGUCCUGGACUUCUUUUGGUUGGUAGGCUAGUAAUUACUGUCUCAAAUUUAGAACUUGUUAUUGGCCUAUUCAGGGAUUCGACUUCUUACUGGUUUGGACUUGAGAGGGUAUACGUGUCCAGGAAUUUAUCCAUUUCGUCUAGAUUUUCUAGUUAAUUUGCAAAGAGGUAUUUAUAAUAUUCUUUAAUGAUACUUUUUAUUUCUGUGAGAUCAAUGGUUAUAUCCCCUUUAUCAUGUAUUUGAUUAUUCUCUUCUUCCUUAUUAGUCUGGCUAGAAGUUUAUUUAUUUUCUUGAUCUUUUCAAAAAACCAGCUCCUGGAUUCAUUGAUUUUUUUGAUGGGCUUUUUGUGUCUCUAUCUCCUUCAAUUCUGCUCUGAUCUUAAAUCUUGUCUUCUGCUAUCUUUUGAAUUUGUUUGCUCUUGUUUCCCUAGUAUUUUUAAUUGUGAUGUUAUGGUGUCUAUUUUAGACCUUGUCUGCUUUCACUUGUGGGCAUUUAGUGCUAUAAGUUUCCCUUUACACACUACUUUAGCUGUGUCAUAUUUUAUUUUUAAGUCCUCAGUCUUUCUUUUUCAUCAUGAUAGUCUUGACUGUUUUAUGUUUCUGUAAUGUAAAAUUGACUACACAGUAUUUACAAAGAUUUUACCAAAAUAUUUUAUUGAGAAUGUACAAACCUGUCAGUCAAUU